CUAGAAUUAAAUAUGGUAUACUGCAAUAUAGCUACAACUGGACCCAAAAUUCAAAACAAUUAAUUAAAUGUUGUAAAAAAAUAAAUAAGAAAAUAGAUAAAAAGUGUUUUUUGCUGCCUGGGUCCUGGUUUUAGAAAGGCGAUUUAACCUGUUUAAAAAAGAAAGAAAUAGCCUAAAAAAAAACACAAAAAAAAAAAAAAAAAAAAAAACACAAAAAACAACCUUAAAUCUGCUCACGAUAUAAUUGUAAAUAACCUACUUCGAGUGAAGGGACCACUGGCCACUCCCACAACUCCGCCCCUUUAAAAGAACAACAUCUUUCCACUGAAACACAUUAGUCAUCGUCAUUAAGAUGCCUCACAGAAACUCAUUUAAAUAUUAUCGCUUUUCUCUGAGACGGAAGUAGGCCAACACACGGCAAAUGAUGUCAUGUUAACCUAUCAAACACAGACAGGUAUUGGGCUGUCUUGUAAACAUGGCAAUAAUUUCUGCUUCUCUUUUAUCUCACUUCACAAAAAAAGUUAUAUGGGUUUAGGAUUUCUCCUACAAAGCUUUUCAAUAUCCUCAUCUUCAGGAUCUCUGGUUGUGCCCGGCUUCAACAUACUGUAGAAUAAAUCAACCAUUAGCGCAAUGGCCAUAGCAUGCAGGUGACGUGCGCAAAUCUGCAUCUCAUCCUCUGUGUCAUCACGUUAAGGUCCUCCUCCACUCGCACCUGUCUCUUUGGGACUAUAAAGGCUGCUUGGCUUCACAGCACUUUCUCAGGCUACACAAAGAAAGGAAGAAUUGGGACGCAGACAUCUAUAUUUACAUCUCAGCACAAGGUAAAG
rnacentral:lncRNA from 1 species